rnacentral:rRNA from 1 species
CAGCUCCAAUAGCGUAUAUUAAAGUUGUUGCAGUUAAAAAGCUCGUAGUUGGAUCUAGGGACGCGCAUUUCAAGCGCCCGUGCCAUCGGGUCAAACCGGUGGCUGCGUUGGCGUUGCGGGCUCGGUCCGUCGGUGCCCCACAAAGGGCUAUCGGCGUGUCAACCGGCCCGCCCGUCCCCUCCUUCUGGAUUCCCGUUCCUGCUAUUGAGUUAGUGGGGACGUCACAGGGGGUUGCAAACGGCGGCGGUGGGUCCCUGGGGCCCAGAUCGUUUACCGUGAAAAAAUUAGAGUGUUCAAAGCAGGCAGAUCCAAUUUUCUGCCACCGAAUACAUUAGCAUGGGAUAAUGGAAUAGGACCCUGUCCUCCUAUUUUCAGUUGGUUUUGGCAGCGCGAGGACUAGGGUAAUGAUUAAUAGGGAUAGUUGGGGGCAUUAAUAUUUAAUUGUCAGAGGUGAAAUUCUUGGAUUUAUGAAAGAUUAACUU